UGUUUGUUUAGGGUAGACUGGUGGGAAUCUUCGACUGAGCUGGUCUCUCAUUAGCACACAGUGAGAAAACGAGUCUUCGGAGGAAGAUCAUUGUGUCUAACAGCAGCCGAUGUUCUGAAAACGUUCCAUCUAUGCUGGGAAGCAGGAGCCACAAAAACCUGGGCGAACAGCUCUGAACAUGCCAAACAGAUUCAUCGAAAUUGGUGAGAAAAGGAAUAAAUGCAUCAAAGAACAGCCGUCUACACUUUUAACAAGCAGGAUUCCAGAAUUAAGAGCAGUAAACGGUGUCCUGACAGUGGAGCUGAGAGGAGCAGUCAGACUGACGGACGGCGGCAGAAAGAAAUGCGUCGGGGAACACAUACCAGCACGUAACAAAUCUACAAUCUCUUUGUACAGUCAUGUUCCAUAAAACAUAAACAACAUUAUCAUCUCAUUUCACACCAUCGGCCUGAUGUCUGCACUUGAUUCACUGAAUGCCAUUCAUUGAUCUUGUCAUAGGACACUCAACGUUAGAUUAGAUUACUGUACUUGACUCGUAAAGUGAGAAGUUGAGAGUUCACUGAAUCAAUAAUCGCAUGAUAGACAAUGAAUGAACCUCUGCCUAAUGAUAUCAAGAUCGAAAAGUAAGGAAAUUAGAAAACCUGUACAACAACUUCAUAUCUCUACAGUUAGCUGAGAAGGAAAUGGUGUUGAAUUGUAAAUAUUUUGCACUCUCUCUGUAUUUACCUUUGAAUAAUGGGAUGUGUGCACAGCUCAAUACAACCACGUCUAUGCUAAACACACUAACCGUCAUGUUUAUUUUAGAUUUAUUGUGGUUAUUUUAUUUCCUAUUGGCCUAUUUAUUUGAAAAACUAGAACAACCAUACCACAAUA